GCGGUGCAUUAUUAUCCGCAGCUGUUCGUGAUCAUCUUCAUCAGCGGCGCAGACUUAAGGAGUUGGCCGCCAGUCCAGCGUCGCCUGAGUGUUAGCCAGUCACGGUGAUCCUUUGAUGAGAUCCCGGUUGAAUUCCUGGUUUAUGAACCACCCUCGUGACGCCGUGGAAAGUAUCCACAGGUUGCCCGAGUUCCCAGACUCACCUCUCCGUUGUUUUGCAAUUAUCUCCUGGACCCCACGGCUGGCGGCCGUACCACUCCUCCGUCUCUCCGCUGCACCCGAGCCUACCUGUCCGCUGCCCGCCGCACUCCUCCGUUGUUCUUGGACCCACCAAGAACCGAGACCCCGGACAUACUUUGUUUCCCCUCCAAGACUCCGUUCAUCUGCAACAAUGAACCAUUGUUGCCGUCACUGUCUUUGCCCCUGGACCAGACCAUCCUGAUUCUCGCUGAUAAUUGUGUGAUCAUUAUUAAAUCAUUUAACACUGA